UGGGGAAUCUUGCACAAUGGGCGGAAGCCUGAUGCAGCGACGCCGCGUGGGGGAUGACGGCCUUCGGGUUGUAAACUCCUUUCGCCAGGGACGAAGCCGUGAGGUGACGGUACCUGGAUAAGAAGCACCGGCUAACUACGUGCCAGCAGCCGCGGGAAUACGUAGGGUGCGAGCGUUGUCCGGAAUUACUGGGCGUAAAGAGCUCGGAGGUGGUUUGUCGCGUCGUCUGUGAAAUUCCGGGGCUUAACUCCGGGCGUGCAGGCGAUCCGGGCAUAACUUGAGUGCUGUAGGGGAGACUGGAAUUCCUGGUGUAGCGGUGAAAUGCGCAGAUAUCAGGAGGAACACCGAUGGCGAAGGCAGGUCUCUGGGCAGUAACUGACGCUGAGGAGCGAAAGCAUGGGUAGCGAACAGG
rnacentral:rRNA from 1 species